GAUAUAGGCCUUAAAAAAUUAUUUUCUCAACUACGGAAAUAUAUUUGAAUGCUAGGUGCAUUGUUUAGGUUAUAUAUGAAUUUUUAUGAAUUUCAUGUUUUAUGCCCAGUAAUAGUGGAACUCAACGUUUGGCUGAUAGAUUCACAUUUUUAAAUGGUUAUAUUUUAGUGUUUGGGCAAUUUAGUUAGAUAUUGGAGAUGUCAAGAAUAUUCGAGGUAUUUAAUUUGACUAAAAUGCCCUCUGGUGGCAAUGUAAGUUCAUGGGGAAAAAAAGGGGCAAAUGGUCUUUUACCAUAAUUUUCUUUUGUCCUUUAGUGGGUUGAUAUUAAGCUUAGUUAAUCUGAAUUUAAGUUAUUGAAUAUUAGAUAAAAAUUAGGAUUUAUUCUUUUUAUUCAAUAAUAGAAAAUUAGAAGAAAAACAAAACACUUUCUCUCUCUCUUUCUUUGAGUCGGCCACCAAGAACCAAGGGAAAACCCAGCAAUUUUCUUGUUCAAUUCAAACCAUUUUUAGAGGAAUUCAACAGCUGUAGCUUAAGUAAUUUGUGAGGUAAAAGCUAGAACCAAACUAGUGAGAGUCUAAAGGUAAGGAUGAUUGUACAUAUCAAGGCGGUUAGACCUGGAGUGUUUAGGGUCUUUGGAACAAUUUUGGCUCACUUUGCUAGUCGCUAGUAGACAACUUUUGACGUUUAAUUAUUUUGUAACUUUUAGAACAAGAUCUCAAAUUAUGUAAAUUAUUAUGUUUAAUUAUUAAAAUGAAGUUAUUUAAUGAAGUUUUAAUUAUUCAC